UACGAAGGGGGCUAGCGUUGCUCGGAAUCACUGGGCGUAAAGCGCACGUAGGCGGCUUGUUAAGUCAGGGGUGAAAUCCUGGAGCUCAACUCCAGAACUGCCUUUGAUACUGGCGAGCUUGAGUUCGGGAGAGGUGAGUGGAAUUCCUAGUGUAGAGGUGAAAUUCGUAGAUAUUAGGAAGAACACCGGUGGCGAAGGCGGCCCACUGGAUCGGUACUGACGCUGAGGUGCGAAAGCGUGGGGAGCAAACAGG
rnacentral:rRNA from 1 species